rnacentral:rRNA from 1 species
GACAGAGGAUGCAAGCGUUAUCCGGAAUCACUGGGCGUAAAGCGUCUGUAGGUGGUUUAAAAAGUCCACUGUUAAAAAUUGAAGCUUAACUUCAAAGAUGCCGUGGAAACUUUUAAACUUGAGUAUGAUAGGGGUAGAGGGAAUUUCCAGUGGAGCGGUGAAACGCGUAGAUAUUGGAAAGACCACCAAUGGCGAAGGCACUCUACUGGGCCAUUACUGACACUGAGAGACGAAAGCUAGGGGAGCGAAUGGG